rnacentral:rRNA from 1 species
GACGAACGCUGGCGGCGUGCUUAACACGUGCAAGUCGAACGGAAAGGCCCUGCUUUUGUGGGGUGCUCGAGUGGCGAACGGGUGAGUAACACGUGAGUAACCUGCCCUUGACUUUGGGAUAACUUCAGGAAACUGGGGCUAAUACCGGAUAGGAGCUCCUGCUGCAUGGUGGGGGUUGGAAAGUUUCGGCGGUUGGGGAUGGGCUCGCGGCUUAUCAGCUUGUUGGUGGGGUAGUGGCUUACCAAGGCUUUGACGGGUAGCCGGCCUGAGAGGGUGACCGGCCACAUUGGGACUGAGAUACGGCCCAGACUCCUACGGGAGGCAGCAGUGGGGAAUAUUGCACAAUGGGCGGAAGCCUGAUGCAGCAACGCCGCGUGCGGGAUGACGGCCUUCGGGUUGUAAACCGCUUUCGCCUGUGACGAAGCGUGAGUGACGGUAAUGGGUAAAGAAGCACCGGCUAACUACGUG